rnacentral:rRNA from 1 species
UACGGGGGGGGCAAGCGUUGUUCGGAAUUACUGGGCGUAAAGGGUUCGUAGGUGGCUUGUUAAGUCAGACGUGAAAUCCCCGGGCUCAACCUGGGAACUGCGUUUGAAACUACAAGGCUAGAGUGUAGCAGAGGGGGGGUAGAAUUCCACGUGUAGCAGUGAAAUGCGUAGAGAUGUGGAGGAAUACCAAUGGCGAAGGCAGCCCCCUGGGUUAACACUGACGCUCAUGCACGAAAGCGUGGGGAGCAAACAGG